ACAUCAGGACAUCCAAAGUGUCACAUUAACCGUAGCCAUCAUUUUAACCAUUCCAGUAUACGCCGGAUAGUCACGAUGAUCUCGUGCUACUUACCUAAGGUACACUAGAUCCAGGUGUAGGAUCUUUCACUCAAGCAUAAAAUACCCAAGCAAUCCCUUAAAAGUAAAUCAGACAAUUCAAAUAAGUGAUCUUGGUUUUUUUUUUUUUU
rnacentral:lncRNA from 1 species